UACGAAGGGUGCAAACGUUGCUCGGAAUUAUUGGGCGUAAAGCGCACGUAGGCGGCUUAGCAAGACCCAUGUGAAAGCCCACGGCUCAACCGUGGAAGUGCAUGGGAAACUGCUGAGCUUGAGUACUUAAGAGGAUCGCGGAAUUCCCGGUGUAGAGGUGAAAUUCGUAGAUAUCGGGAGGAACACCAGUGGCGAAGGCGGCGAUCUGGGAAGAUACUGACGCUGAGGUGCGAAAGCGUGGGGAGCAAACAGG
rnacentral:rRNA from 1 species